GGGAGCGUUUGGAUCGACGGAACGCCUGUCGUCACACUUACGUGAACUUGGCCUGGCGCGCACAUGACACACGGAAUAGGUGCAGAAGUGGAGAUCAGAGG
rnacentral:lncRNA from 1 species